UACGUAGGGUGCAAGCGUUGUCCGGAAUUAUUGGGCGUAAAGAGCUCGUAGGCGGUUUGUCGCGUCUGCUGUGAAAUCCCGAGGCUCAACCUCGGGCCUGCAGUGGAUACGGGCAGGCUCGAGUUCGGUAGGGGAGACUGGAAUUCCUGGUGUAGCGGUGAAAUGCGCAGAUAUCAGGAGGAACACCGGUGGCGAAGGCGGGUCUCUGGGCCGAUACUGACGCUGAGGAGCGAAAGCGUGGGGAGCAAACAGG
rnacentral:rRNA from 1 species